rnacentral:rRNA from 1 species
AUUGAACGCUGGCGGCAGGCCUAACACAUGCAAGUCGAGCGAGCGGCGGACGGGUGAGUAAUGUAUGGGGACUGCCCGAUAGAGGGGGAUAACUACUGGAAACGGUAGCUAAUACCGCAUACUAUCGGAUAACCCAUAUGGGAUUAGCUAGUUGGUUCGGUAAUGGCUCACCAAGGCGACGAUCCCUAGCUGAUCUGAGAGGAUGAUCGGCCACACUGGGACUGAGACACGGCCCAGACUCCUACGGAGGCAGCAGUGGGGAAUAUUGCACAAUGGGCGAAAGCCUGAUGCAGCCAUGCCGCGUGAGUGAAGAAGGUCUUCGGGUUGUAAAGCACUUUCAUCGAGGAGGCGUUACUCGAAGAAGAAGCACCGGCUAACUCCGUGCCAGCAGCCGCGGUAAUAC